GGGGAAUCCCAAGUGCUUGCUCGUAAGAGUAAGCUGUUUCUUUGUUUAAAACGCAUUGAGAGUAAGGGCUGGGUAAGACGGGUGCCAGCCGCCGCGGUAAUACCUGCAGCUCGAGUGGUGGCCGCUAUUAUUGGGCCUAAAACGUCCGUAGCCGGCUUAAUAAGUGCCUGGGUAAAUCGUGUAGCUCAACUAUACGAAUUCCGGGUAGACUGUUAAGCUUGAGACCGGGAGAAGUUAGAGGUACUCCUGGGGUAGAGGUGAAAUUCUGUAAUCCUAGGGGGACCACCAGUGGCGAAGGCGUCUGACUAGAACGGGUCUGACGGUGAGGGACGAAGCCCUGGGGCGCAAACCGGAUUAGAUACCCGGGUAGUCCAGGGUGUAAACGCUGCUUGCUUGAUGUUGGUUGGGCUCCGAGCCCAAUCAGUGUCGGAGAGAAGUUGUUAAGCAAGCUGCCUGGGAAGUACGGCCGCAAGACUGAAACUUAAAGGAAUUGGCGGGG
rnacentral:rRNA from 1 species